rnacentral:lncRNA from 1 species
AUUUUGAUUCAUUUUUCUCUUCACAGAUGACAGGGCAAUAGAAGGAGUUUUAUAAUCAGAAGCAAAUCACAGAAACUUGUCACUGCUGGGGGUCCUAACCACUCCUGUUCAGCUGCAAACUGCAUUUUCUGAAGAAAGCGGUGAAGAUGUGUCUGGGAACCUACCCUACGCAGGGUGGUGUGGGGGACAUCUGUGGAGUCAUGCAGGAGAUAAAUGUAGACUGAAGAGAAGUAAUAGGUUUUCAUUCCAUCUCAUGGGUCCAAAAUGGGAGCCCCUGCUAAUUUUCCUCAAAUGCCUCCUUUCAGGAGGAAGAGAAGGAAAAAAGGCUAUAAAGGAGCAAGGAAAGAGAAGAUGGAGAGGAAAUGAGAAAGGGAAAGAACGUAGAAGAAAGAAGAGGUGA